rnacentral:rRNA from 1 species
GAUAAACGCUGGCGGCGUGCCUAAUACAUGCAAGUCGAGCGAACGGACGAGAAGCUUGCUUCUCUGAUGUUAGCGGCGGACGGGUGAGUAACACGUGGAUAACCUACCUAUAAGACUGGGAUAACUUCGGGAAACCGGAGCUAAUACCGGAUAAUAUUUUGAACCGCAUGGUUCAAAAGUGAAAGACGGUCUUGCUGUCACUUAUAGAUGGAUCCGCGCUGCAUUAGCUAGUUGGUAAGGUAACGGCUUACCAAGGCAACGAUGCAUAGCCGACCUGAGAGGGUGAUCGGCCACACUGGAACUGAGACACGGUCCAGACUCCUACGGGAGGCAGCAGUAGGGAAUCUUCCGCAAUGGGCGAAAGCCUGACGGAGCAACGCCGCGUGAGUGAUGAAGGUCUUCGGAUCGUAAAACUCUGUUAUUAGGGAAGAACAUAUGUGUAAGUAACUGUGCACAUCUUGACGGUACCUAAUCAGAAAGCCACGGCUAACUACGUGCCAGCAGCCGCGGUAAUACGUAGGUGGCAAGCGUUAUCCGGAAUUAUUGGGCGUAAAGCGCGCGUAGGCGGUUUUUUAAGUCUGAUGUGAAAGCCCACGGCUCAACCGUGGAGGGUCAUUGGAAACUGGAAAACUUGAGUGCAGAAGAGGAAAGUGGAAUUCCAUGUGUAGCGGUGAAAUGCGCAGAGAUAUGGAGGAACACCAGUGGCGAAGGCGACUUUCUGGUCUGUAACUGACGCUGAUGUGCGAAAGCGUGGGGAUCAAACAGGAUUAGAUACCCUGGUAGUCCACGCCGUAAACGAUGAGUGCUAAGUGUUAGGGGGUUUCCGCCCCUUAGUGCUGCAGCUAACGCAUUAGGCACUCCGCCUGGGGAGUACGACCGCAAGGUUGAAACUCAAAGGAAUUGACGGGGACCCGCACAAGCGGUGGAGCAUGUGGUUUAAUUCGAAGCAACGCGAAGAACCUUACCAAAUCUUGACAUCCUUUGACAACUCUAGAGAUAGAGCCUUCCCCUUCGGGGGACAAAGUGACAGGUGGUGCAUGGUUGUCGUCAGCUCGUGUCGUGAGAUGUUGGGUUAAGUCCCGCAACGAGCGCAACCCUUAAGCUUAGUUGCCAUCAUUAAGUUGGGCACUCUAAGUUGACUGCCGGUGACAAACCGGAGGAAGGUGGGGAUGACGUCAAAUCAUCAUGCCCCUUAUGAUUUGGGCUACACACGUGCUACAAUGGACAAUACAAAGGGCAGCGAAACCGCGAGGUCAAGCAAAUCCCAUAAAGUUGUUCUCAGUUCGGAUUGUAGUCUGCAACUCGACUACAUGAAGCUGGAAUCGCUAGUAAUCGUAGAUCAGCAUGCUACGGUGAAUACGUUCCCGGGUCU